rnacentral:rRNA from 1 species
UACGUAGGGUGCGAGCGUUGUCCGGAAUUAUUGGGCGUAAAGCGCGCGCAGGCGGCCAUUUAAGUCUGGUGUUUAAUCCCGGGGCUCAACCCCGGGUCGCACUGGAAACUGGGUGGCUUGAGUGCAGAAGAGGAGAGUGGAAUUCCUGGUGUAGCGGUGAAAUGCGCAGAUAUCAGGAGGAACACCGGUGGCGAAGGCGGUUCUCUGGGCCUGUACUGACGCUGAGGAACGAAAGCGUGGGGAGCGAACAGG